rnacentral:rRNA from 1 species
UACGUAGGGUGCAAGCGUUGUCCGGAAUUAUUGGGCGUAAAGAGCUCGUAGGCGGUCUGUCGCGUCGGCUGUGAAAACGCGAGGCUCAACCUCGCGCCUGCAGUGGGUACGGGCAGACUAGAGUGCGGUAGGGGAGAUUGGAAUUCCUGGUGUAGCGGUGGAAUGCGCAGAUAUCAGGAGGAACACCGAUGGCGAAGGCAGAUCUCUGGGCCGUAACUGACGCUGAGGAGCGAAAGCGUGGGGAGCGAACAGG